rnacentral:rRNA from 1 species
UGAUAUAUCAUGUUAACACUAAUGCACUGAAUUUCAUAAGAACUUUGCAGUUAAGUGUGAUUGUACACGAUAGUAGUACUAAUUAAAUUGGGUAACUACUUGAAAAUUUCUUGUGUUGUAUCCA